rnacentral:lncRNA from 1 species
GAUAUAAAUAAAGGCAACAGUAGUAUACCGCUGUUCAAAACUCAUAAAUCCAUGGACAAAAAACAAAAUCGGGAUAACAAACUAAAACCGAUAGAAACGCAUUAAAUAUAAAAGGAGAACAACGACAUAACACUAAAAUGUAACACACAUAGACAAAAUCCCACGAGAAUAACAAAUAUAACAUAUAUAUAUAACAUCAAAACCAAAUACAUGAAUUUGGGAUAGACAAGUACCGUGACACGUCUUAUCGCAAUGUGAAUUUACACUCAAAAAUAAGAGAAAACAAACGACACAACGUUAUAAUGUAAUACACACAGAAACGAACUAUAAUAUAACAAUGACCAUAUUCCUGACUUGGUACAGGGCAUUUUUAAAGGAAAAAAUGGUGGGUUGAACCUGGUUUUGUGGCAUGCCAAACCUCGCACUUUUAUGGCCAUGUGAAAUAUAACAUCAAAAUGACAACACAGGACUACAAUAUAAAUCAAU